AACCACUACCCAACUUUAUAAAUGCAUACAUGAAAAUCACCUGGUACAAAGAGACCUGUUACAAUUUCCUUUUCUGCCCCUAUAUCCUUUCUUUUCCUCUCUUCCCUAAAGCAAAGGUGGGGCUAGAGAGGAUGGCCAGGGUCCCUCCCUUCCAGUCUUGACAUGCCAAGGAACAAGUGAUGGCAGGCUUAGGAUGCACUGUGGGGAGAAAGUCAGACCUCCACCCCUGCGUUUCCCUAGGGUAAGACGCCAUUUCUGCUUGGACUGGCACUGGGCCUCCAGGGAGAGGAUGCAGUUUCAGCCCAGAACUGGAUGCCUUACUCAGAGGAGUGCUGUGAGUGGAAGCGGGGCAGGAAAACUGAGCUGAGAGGAAGAGACAAGUCCCAGAUCACUCAGGGGUCUCCAGCAAAGCCACAGCUCUGGACUUCCCAUUCAGUGCUCCUCACAGCAAUGGCCCCCAAACUACAAGUUUCCCAGAGUUAUCUGGACACAGACGAAACACCAGCUAGAAGAGUGCUUUGGAAAAGAACAUGAUACAAGGUGAGUUCAAGUGUUGGGUCAAAAUGUUUCUAAUGGACAAAGGGUGGUAAGGUUCUGUCCCCUGGCAGCCUAAGGCAUGAGGCAACAGGAAGAGAAGAGGCCAGCAGGUGAAAGGCCCUGCUUACAUACAGGUGAAAGGCCAGCCAGCUGUCCACCUGGCUAGAGAAAGGUAGAGACUUUAUGACUUUUAAAAUGAAGCAGCCAUGAAAUGUGAUUAUGUGGCAGGCCCCUAAUUGGCUAUAGGAGUAUGGCGCCUGGGGAGGCAUGCCAGAGAAAUGGGUGGGGUCACUCUGCAGAGCACUGAGCUGGGCACUGCAGGCGAGGGUGGAGGCUCAGCAGCCUGAAUCACAGGACAGUCUGGAGGAGGAUAGGAGACCGGAAUACAGUCUCAGGUCAGCCGCAGGCUUGCUCUGGGUCUCCGCGCCUCUGUUUCCCCAAAGAACCCAGAAGCAGCCCUGAUUUUAAGAUCACUGGGUGUAGCUGUUAAUCAGAACUUGUUCAGUCUCUAGAAGCCCACAAGGCAAGGAUUGCAAAAGCCAGGGUUUUCAUGUCAGAGGCCGAGAAAGGAAAAAGGCUUCGCCAGGCCUGAGGGUACAGCUCAGAGCCCACUCUACAUCACAAUGAGCCUGUCUGUCUGCUUGCCCCUCUGUGGACAACCCCUGGAUGCUCAUCUUACAUGCAAGGAUUUUUCUCCUGCCACAGUGCAUGGCAGUCCCUUUAAGUCCUGUCUUUCACAGCUCAACUCAAAAGGUCCCCCAGAGUCUCCCUUCUCUCAAUUCUUUGGGAGCCACAGACCCAGAAGCCGUACAGUGAGUGGCCAGUGAGUAGGUGACAAACAUCUGGUGGUCCCCGGCCAAGCAGAGGACCAGCCAGAGUGUCAUAGAUGACCACUGGUAACUGAAGAGUCUGUGGUACAGCACUCAGCACGAGCAUGUGGGCUGGGCAGUGACAGAUGGCCCUGCCACAUGCUGGUUGUCCCAGGAGUUGCAUGCACGAGUUCAGAGUUAUCCACGGUGUGAUACUUAUGGUGUGCAAGACAUAUAUUUUCCUGGUACAUGUUAGAAUGGAGAUAAAAACUAGCAAUGCAAACUUAUGAUUUAAUGAGAUGUGGUAUAAUAGCUAUGUAAUGAAAUAUAUAAAAAUAAAGCUCUUCAUGUAUUAAUCUGUGACACUCUCCAAGUUAGCUUUAAGAAGCAAGUUUCAGAUUUGUGUAUUUUAUACUACCUUUUGUGUAAAAAACCAAAAUUGAUACGGCUGGGGGAGAUGCACGCACAUGAAAAGAAUGCACAUGAAAAGUAAUGAUGUACUGUACUUAGAGGACCUGGGUGGCUAUGGAGGGGAUAGAAGGGAAACUUCAUUUUAUACCCUUUGGCACAUUUCUGAAUUCUGAACCAUGUGAAUGGAUCAACUAUUCAAAGUACAAGGCCUGUGGCUUCACAUUACUUAGAACAAAGCAAUUUAAGUAAAAAUGCUUAAUGAAAAAUUACGCUAGUGCAGCUCAGUGAAUGAUGCUGCAGCAGAGGCUAUGUGAGGCCCAUUCCAAUACUACAGGCCUUGUUUUAAAAGUCUGGCUCUGAUGUUCCAGAGGUUCUUGAACCUCUGAAGCCGUUCUUGGGGCCCUAUUAAGCAGCUAUUCACCUGGUAGCAGGGGCUGCUGAGAGCCAAGAAUAAGCCCUUCUGCAGAACUUUGCCACUGGCAGGCCAAAGACAAAUUUCACUUUAGAAACUUGCCUACGAUAGAUACCCUGGGUUAUAUCCACAUCCACCCAGGUAGGCUGCUGCAUUAGAACUCACUAAAAUUCUCAGUGACCCGUUUUCCAGACCUCAUGCUGGAUCGAACAGCUCCAAGUCCUGCCAUCAUGGAAAGGGCUGGCAGUCCAGUGGGGGACCCGUGGAGGCCCAGAGGUGAGGCACUCAAAGACAACAUGAAGAUAGCGUGGUCUGGGCUUCAAAAGGGGUGGUAUGAGGAACUGAGGGUGCCCCAGAAAGAUUUUUAAUGUUGCCUGGGGACAAUCAAAGAUGAGUUCCCAGGAGGUGACAUUGGAUUUGGACUGUGAAGAGCAAGCAGGGAGCCUGCCAAGUGGAAAAGCAGUGACAAGACUGCAUUCCAGGUAGAUGGAACAGUACGUGCAAGGGAAAGAAACAGGGUCUGAUAUCAUCAGGCUAAGAAACAGAGUGCUCAUGAGGCUCAGUGUGAGCUGUCUCAGAGGAGCAGGGCCCCGGACCCUUUGUAGGCACACAGCACUGAGACCAGUGAUAUGUUCCUAUUCCCAUCUCCUGCACUCACUACACCAGCUUGAUCACUGCUGGGCUUGGCAUCAAAACUCUGGCUGAAAUGCAGUGAGUGCUACCUUUCACCUUGGAAUUGGAAGCCUGCUAGCCCUGCCGCUAGGCCUCAGUUUCUUCACCUAGGAAAUGGGGCUAAUGUUUCCUCCUUAGAGUCGCUGUCAAAUUCUGUAUCAGGGAGCAGAGAAGAGCUUCCUUGACAAGUGCUUGCCAAAGGCCACCAGAGCUCAUCUGCCAGUUUGCCUGUGGCUGCAAAUGAAGCACAGUGAGUAAGUCCAUCUACUCAACCUGUGUUUACUUAAGUGGCCAGCUGAUGUACCGCUGAUGACUCAGAGAAAGUGGUGGUGGGGAACAAUGCAGAAUCCAGAGUCUGGGACUCUCAGUGGUUUAUCACUGCUCUCCAGGGAUGGGGUGACCUUCCAUAGCACUCCAUGCUUUUCUAGGCCUUGGCACCUGCUGUGUCCUCUGUAGUUUCCACUCUGGGAACUCCUAAAAAUAGAAGCUGGGUUUUUUCAUCUCUGCAACUAGAGUGCCCAGGUAGGCAUUAGCACUGAACAAUUGUUAAAAAAACAAAAGAAACCAAAAGAAACCAGAAAAGCUGGGUGUUAUGGCACACGCCUGCGAGCCUGGCAUUCAGAAGGCUGAGGCAGGAUUGCUGUUGAGUUUGAGGCCAGCCUGGGCUACAUAGUGAGUUCAAGGCCAGCCUGAACUACAUACUGAGACCCUGUCCUAAAAAAAAAUUUUUUUUUUAAAUCCCACUAAACUUAUGGAUUUAGGCAAAACUCUGGUUUUCCCAGAGUGCUCAUCCUAACUCAGCUAUUCGUCAAACCCCUAGUGAGUGCAGGACUGUCAGAACUCUGAGAAGUGGGAACAGGGUAAUGCACUCCCCCAACCCUCCACUUCAUGCCCACAGGGCUGCAGUUGGGAGACCUUUGAAGUCAGUCAGAUCAAGUUCAAAUCCCAACUCUCUUAGGAGUGCCACAGGCUUCUCAGCUCAGCAAAGCCCUGGGCUCAGUCAGGCUCCAGCAUACAGGAGGAUGCCUCAUGUCCCCACUCCAUGCCCUUUUCAUGCCAAUUCUGAGAGUCCUGGGGAUCUGAGGCCCACUGAGUGCCCUCACCCCAAGCCAUUGACGAUGUGUUGGUUCCCACACGCUGGGAUGAUAGCCACCCUGUGUACAUGACUUGCCAAACAUUUGACCUUUUGACCCCUGCCUGUGUGCCCUUCCUCAGCAUCACUGGGGCCUUGGGCUUGCCUCGCAGCAGGCUCUCAGUCAAUACUGGCAGAGGGAGGGCACCUGGCACCGCCCUCAGAGUCAGGGCAUGGCCCGUGGUAGAAGGAUCCUGAGCUGGCAGACUCCAGACAUCACUCCACCUCAUCCUCCUCUCACGGCUUCUGGCAUGAUGUUCAGAGGUGGCCUGGAGCAUGAAGCGCAGGCUAAGCACUUAGUCUAUAGGUCUAAGGAGGGCAGGGAGAGGUAUGGCAGGGGUUCACCUGAUCCAUGACAUCUCUUUUUAUUUAUUUUGGGCAACAUUUCCUUUCUAAGAUUUCAUAGGAACAAAGUUCUAGGCAUUAAAAAAGAAAGCAGCCCAAGAAGGUGCAGAUUGUUAACACCCUCAUUUAAUAUACCAGGAGCCCAGGUGCUGAGGAUACUCAGCAAACAAAAGCCAGGGCUAGCACUGAGUUCUUUGGACUCCUUCCUGGAGUUUUGCCCCUGACUCCUUUUAUCCUGCUGACUCCUGUCAAAGGUGAUGGGCUAGCCACAGAAGCCUGGGCUCUGGGUGACCUCGAGAACUGAUUCUUCCUGAAGUCAUUUUCUUCCAGCCUCCUAGUGAUGACAAGACGCCUGCAUGACUGAACCACCCUACACCCCAUGGUGGCCCUGGAAGCAGAAGGUGCUCAUCAAUGUCUGAAGCAGAGAGGAGAGGACAGAGCUGGGGCGCUUAUCGGCAGCACCAGCGAGUCACCGGGCAUCCUGCCAGGGGCUCGGUGGACGUCCUGAUUUAACCACCGUGAAUAUGCUCCACUCCAGGGACAGAUUGCUCCCACUUCACAGAGGAGAAACGGGAGGCUCAGAGAAGAAAAAGCACACAAUCAGAGGGUCCUGGGCCUCGGAGAAGCUUCAAUUUUAUGUUCUUUCUGCUCAGGCCCUCCCCCUGCUUACUGGUAAUGGUCCCUGAAGGGAACAAGGUGUUUACCUGGUUCUUUCCGGGUAGGCCAAUUUCCAUUCCAGUAAUUCUCUAAGCCUUGACCAUUCCCAUCUGGGACGGCCCAAGCUCAAGUUCAGGAACCUUUUGGCUGCUUGGCUGGAUUUUGCUUUAAGUCAAGGAUGAGUAACUAUGGCCCCCUGAGCCACAUAUGGCCUGCAGUUAAGGACACGCUUUACAUUUCUAAGUGACGAGGGGGUGUGUGUGUGGGGGGAGAUGAUAUAUGAAAACUGAAUCAAACUCAAGUUGCCAUGACCAUUAAUAAGCUUUACUGGCCACACUCAUUGAAUGUGUUUAUUAUUUGUGGCUGCUUUCCCACUACAGCAGCACAUCUAAGUGGCUGAAGCAGAGACCCCAAGGCCCACAAAGCUGACAAUAUUAACUAUCAGGCCCUUUACAGAAAGUCUGUCAACCACCGAUUUAAAUCCCAGGUUCCCUAAGCUGUUUGCUACAUGGAAACCCAAUGUAUGAAUUGGAAAAGAUUUCUAAAGCCUUUCAAGGCAAAAAUAUAUCAUUGCUUCUAAAUACCUGAAAAAUAUAUCCUAUAAUGGGGUGUUAAAUGCAGACAACUGGCUCCUAGGGCUGUGUGCAUGGCACUUGGGUUCACGAACUAGCCCCUGGAGAAGCUGGUAUGGGUAUGCAUUCAGCGGUUCGAUGGGCAUCAAUUCAACUAAGAUAAAAUGAAUUUGCUAAGUCUGGGCAUAUACAAAGGUUACUGUCACUCUCAGCAAACAAGUUUAAGCCUCAGCUCCUCCACUUCUGUGACCUUAAAAAAUUCCUUUCCCUUAAAACUUCAGUUCUCCAGAAGGUUUUUCAACUGGGCAUAGUGGUGCAUGCCUGUAAUUCCAGCACUCUGGGCGGCUGGGGCAGGAGGAUGACAAGUUUGAGCCCAGCCUGGGUAACUCAGCAGAAAAUAAAAAACUUUUAAAGGUUAGAGAUGUAGCUUAGUGUAGAGGCCCUCAGUUCAAUCCCCACCACUGAAAGAAAAAAAGGGGGGGGGCAGGGGUUUCUAAGAAUAAAUUACUAAAGUAAAGAUUGUGCUUAAAUGCAUACUCCCAACACUAUCCUAGUACACGGGGACUCAGCAAAAACUAAACUAGUUCCUGCCUGUGGAAGUUGAUUAUUCUAGUCAAGGGCUAGGGAAGAAAAUAAAUACAUAAGGGCCAGGGGUUUGGCUCAGUGGUUCUGCCGCCUGCCUUGCAAGUGCAGGGUCCUGAGUUCGAUCCCUGGUACCAAAAAAAAAAAAAAAA